rnacentral:rRNA from 1 species
AGCUCCAAUAGUAAGUUGCUGCGGUUAAAAACUUCAUAGUUGGAUUUUAGUUUUGGAUCGUCAUUAUGACGCUAGGCGUCUUCUCUCUGCUUCAGAAUGCUAAUACCCGAAAGCUCAGUCGGGUACUCUUCAUCAAGUUUUCCGGGCGGCCGGUAUGUUUACUUUGAAAAAAUUGGGUGAUCAGAGCAGGCCAAGGUGCCUGAAUACGUGUGUAUGGAAUAAUGGAAUAGGACCUCGGUUCUAUUUUGUUGGAUUUUAUAGCUCGAGGUAAUGAUCAAUAGGAACAGUCACAUGCAUUCAUAUUGCAACGUUAAAGGUAACUUUCUUAGAGCUUCGCAAGACGAACUACUACAAAAGCAUUUGCCAAGCAUGUUUUCA